rnacentral:tRNA from 1 species
UGGGGUAUCGCCAACCGGACCGGCCCCGGACUCUGAUUCCGGCAUUCCGAGGCUCGAAUCCUCGUACCCCAGCCA